CUUAUUUUAUUUGCUAACUGUAGGGUGUGCUAACUUAAUAUUUAUUUUCAAUCUGGACAUACUGACAAUUGGUUUCUUAAUCAAAUAAACACAUUUUAGGCUUUUAGCGUAUGCAUACUCAUCAAUGAAAAUCAGCCACAGUACAGAUGGACAUGAAAUUACCACAGGUUGCACUAGUAGCCAUCUGAGCGAUAAUUGACCACCUGUAGUAAUGAAAAACAUUUUAAAGUGAAAUGGCUAACCUUAAUUCAUGCAUGCUAUUGAUUUUGCUUGUAAACCAACCAUAUUUUCCACUAUGGCUCUUUGCUAACUCUUCAUAUUCAGGUAACUUAGUUUGUACUGCAGUUUUUACACAUGAAUAAGUUCCCAAAUUUCAAAAGAAAUUGCUAAUUUAAACUUGCCUGUUUGCAGAUAAUAACACAUCAAGAAGGCCGUCGCUGCCCGAGCUCAUCGCUUCUCAGCUGCUCCUCACCGGUGGGCCUCACAGCUGCUCCUCGCCGGUCAACCUCGCGGCCACUCCUCGCUGGUCUGCAAUCAUAAUAAGCACUCAUUGCUCAGGAGUACUCAACUAGAGUAGAUAAACAAAGAGUGAGAUGAUGGACACCCCAAGUUGCUUCAUUGAACAAUAAAAAUCAUGCAUUAUCCAAAAGCUGAGUAAAAUGGUCACUGGGCAAAUAUUGAAUUAUCCAAAAGUCGAGUAAAAUGGUCAAUUGUUCUUUAA